ACGAAUAUGGUCAAUGGACGCAAGUCUGAACCAGCCAUGCCGCGUGGAGGAUGAAGGUCCUCUGGAUUGUAAACUUCUUUUAUUUGGGAAGAAACCCCCGAUUUCUAUUGGGGUUGACGGUACCAGAUGAAUAAGCACCGGCUAACUCCGUGCCAGCAGCCGCGGUAAUACGGAGGGUGCAAGCGUUAUCCGGAUUCACUGGGUUUAAAGGGUGCGUAGGCGGGUUGGUAAGUCCGUGGUGAAAUCUCCAAGCUUAACUUGGAAACUGCCGUGGAUACUAUCAAUCUUGGAUUUAGUGGAGGUGAGCGGAAUAUGUCAUGUAGCGGUGAAAUGCUUAGAUAUGACAUAGAACACCCAUUGCGAAGGCAGCUCGCUACACUAUUAUUGACGCUGAGGCACGAAAGCGUGGGGAUCAAACAGGAUUAGAUACCCUGGUAGUCCACGCCCUAAACGAUGAUUACUCGACAUCAGCGAUACACUGUUGGUGUCUGAGCGAAAGCAUUAAGUAAUCCACCUGGGAAGUACGACCGCAAGGUUGAAACUCAAAGGAAUUGACG
rnacentral:rRNA from 1 species